GAUGAACGCUGGCGGCGUGCCUAAUACAUGCAAGUCGAGCGAACGGACGAGAAGCUUGCUUCUCUGAUGUUAGCGGCGGACGGGUGAGUAACACGUGGAUAACCUACCUAUAAGACUGGGAUAACUUCGGGAAACCGGAGCUAAUACCGGAUAAUAUUUUGAACCGCAUGGUUCAAAAGUGAAAGACGGUCUUGCUGUCACUUAUAGAUGGAUCCGCGCUGCAUUAGCUAGUUGGUAAGGUAACGGCUUACCAAGGCAACGAUGCAUAGCCGACCUGAGAGGGGGAUCCGGCAACCCGGAACCGGGACCAGGGCCCAGACUCUAAGGGGGGGAACCAGUGGGGAACUUCCGGCAUGGGGCGAAAGCUGACCGAGCAAAGCCGGGGUAGGUAUGAAAGUCUUCCGGUCGGAAAACCUCGUUUAUAGGGAAGAACAAUAUUGGAAAGAAACGGGCCAAACUUGACGGUACCUAAUCAGAAAGCCACGGCUAACUACGUG
rnacentral:rRNA from 1 species